ensembl:lncRNA
GCGCUCCCGUAACGCAGAGGAGCGGCUGAGCGGUGCGGCGUGCGGUUAAGGCGAGAGCGGAGUUGGCCGCGCAGCGCCCAACACGAGUAGAAAACCGAGGCCGUCGGGCUCAUGCGGAUCCAUGAGGGAGGACUUCUGUUUCACAAGGUUUCACCGCCUCUCGCAUUUUUGUGCUCAGCCAGGGCUGCAUCCAAGCAAGGGCUGCCCGGAUUUUAAACACGGGAGGCUGCAGCGUGGAUCUGGAUGUGCGGACCUCCUCACAGUGAGCGUUCCCGUUGGGUAUUGUCUCACAGGACAGGCAUGGAUUUAUAGUGCUCCAAGCCCAUUAUUUCCCUUCCUCCUAUUUGCUCUUAAGAUGAAGCAGCAGCCUUCCCAUAACACCAGGCUUUGUUCGUAUUAACAACUAAGCAAAGAUGAAAACAGCAUCGGUAUGAAAUAAAACUAUAUAUAAGCUUUUAUAUUAUAUAUAAGGCACAAUAGUGACUGGGCAACAUACUGAUAUCUGCACGAGUCUACUUAAAAAACAUGAAUAGUGAGGGCAAACAGUAACUCUUAUUCCAUGAAAUGCUAGUUAAGCCUUUAUCUUGGGAUUUGUGGAAAGUAAAGUAUGGGCUAGCAAGAAGCAGUUCCUACCAGUCCUGAUAGCAGGCUUACCGAUAGACAUACACUAUCAGAACGCUCUAAAUUCCAUAAGGAUGCUUGCCGCAGACUACCUCAGUUCACCGCUCUGUUUUCCAAGCCAAGACCACUGCAGCCCAGCUCUGAAGUUCAACGCAUGAGCCAUUUCAGAUCAACAGCACAGACUCUGGGAGACGUGGGCACUAGCAUUCCCUCUUCUCUAUUGAAUAGCUGCUCCAGUUUUAGAUCAGGCACAGAGAAGCUGCCAGUCUCUCAAAGCAACACCCCGAUUUCGUUUUGCUUAGUCAUCUACUGGUAGGACCUGGCAUUGUGCACCACAUGCAGAAAGCCAGACAUCUGCGAGCCAGGGCAGAGCAAAGGACAGUUCUGUGCUGAGCCUUAAAUCCCAGAUAUCCAUAGCAAACAGGAAAAGCAAUCCAAACCAGAAUAAGCAAAUAGCUGUAAAGCUUUGGAGGAGUGCCGAAGUGGUGCUUCUUUACGUUAAUGAGUCUGCAAAUGAUUUUCCAGCAGUAACUGUUCAUGGCUCUAUAUUCCUGCUGACCCUAAACAUUCAAUAGGAGGUGAUACCCGAGGUAACAUAGCAAAGAACAAGAGAGGACUAAGUGCUGUGCUCAGUGAAGAGCUGUGGUUGAUAACUCUAAAAAGCAAUCCCAAGUCACGAUCAUUUCCUCCCCCUUUGGCCUGCAGCGUGUGGGUGCACAAGAAAGGGGAAACCCUGCUCCUCACAGCUGGGGAGAGCACACAGCCAGCAGUGAGCGGUGCCAGCUCCUCCGCCCACCAGGGCUCCUAUGCUCUGCCAGGAGCAAGAGGUGUGUCAGCAAGAAGGCCUGCCAGCAGCCUGCCUGCUCCUCACUCCUAGCUGCGGGACCGCAGGGCACCGAGCUCAACCAGAGCAUUAUUUCCACUCGUGUGCCUGGUGCUGCACAGCUGAGCCACGCGCAGCACGGCACUGAAUAUUUUCAAGUAUUGCAGCUUGUGAU